GACCAGGGAUGGGAAUCGAACCCACAGUGUUCCGUUUACCGAGCAGAUGCCAUGUCCACUAGGCUACCCUGGA
rnacentral:tRNA from 1 species